UCUAAACAUCGUACUGGAAUUUUCCCAUUCGCAGGAAAUCACAGUUUUAAAGUGGGAAAAUUAUUUGAAUCACAUUCCACUGCAGUCCUACCAUCUUCGUGGUCUUGAAGUAAUUCUUUCUGCAAUAGUUCAUCUUCAUUGGCUAAACCAGCAUUCAACUAAGUUUUUUAAAGUAAAUGAACAAUUGGACAAACUGUCUGCGAUGUCAUAGAAAAAGAACCCUUGUUUAUUGGCACAUAGCUAAUCUUCAUUGAGUAUAACAUCACAGAAGGAGCAAGUCAACAAACUGAAACUAAUUAACGUAUGUUCUUUUUAAAUAUAUAGUUCUCCUUCAUUUGUAU